rnacentral:rRNA from 1 species
AGCCUGAUGCAGCCAUGCCGCGUGUAUGAAGAAGGCCUUCGGGUUGUAAAGUACUUUCAGUUGUGAGGAAGGGUGUGUAGUUAAUAACUGCAUAUCUUGACGUUAGCAACAGAAGAAGCACCGGCUAACUCCGUGCCAGCAGCCGCGGUAAUACGGAGGGUGCGAGCGUUAAUCGGAAUUACUGGGCGUAAAGCGCAUGCAGGUGGUUCAUUAAGUCAGAUGUGAAAGCCCGGGGCUCAACCUCGGAACUGCAUUUGAAACUGGUGAACUAGAGUACUGUAGAGGGGGGUAGAAUUUCAGGUGUAGCGGUGAAAUGCGUAGAGAUCUGAAGGAAUACCAGUGGCGAAGGCGGCCCCCUGGACAGAUACUGACACUCAGAUGCGAAAGCGUGGGGAGCAAACAGGAUUAGAUACCCUGGUAGUCCACGCCGUAAACGAUGUCUACUUGGAGGUUGUGGCCUUGAGCCGUGGCUUUCGGAGCUAACGCGUUAAGUAGACCGCCUGGGGAGUACGGUCGCAAGAUUAAAACUCA